GGAUGAUGACUUCAGAGCUCUUUACAUGUUGGAGCUGAAACCAGAAGUCUGAUAUUUACCAUUUGAUCUUCUCUUGAGUUGCAUCCAAUGCAUGUUUUCACAGUUUUCUCUCUUGUUUUGGAUGAGAAAAUCUUCUAGUAGCUUCCAGAGAAGUAUUUGGGACCACCAAAUCCUGAGCCCUCCAUGGAUUCUGCUGAGAAAAUCUGGCUGCUUCUUGGCAAGGCUGCCCUUAGACCUGGGAUGAGAGCUUUGGAGAGUCCCGAGUUCCCUCUUCCAGCUGUGCCUUUUCACAAAGACCAAGAGGACAUGCCUACCCAGAGCCUGAACUUCAUUCUGUCCUUCUAGAAUGUACUUUAAGGGAGAUGGAGUCUUGAAAUUCCCUGUCCAAAUGACCCCAUCCUUGCUUCUAGGGCCUUCGUGGACCUCUUUCCAGGGCUCAUCCUCCUGGAGUGGACAGUGCUGCCAGCAUGUGUACACCUAGGCCGAGGGGUGGCCGAGAGGCAGUGGUUGGUGGGAGGUGUGGACGGAGAAAUGACAAGGCCCCUCCGGUACGGGAGGAAUCGGGGGUGGGAAAGAAGAGACGGGGCCAGGCUCUUUUUGUGAUGCCGUGUUCUGGUGUAGAACUCAGGGACAUCUGAGGACUCCAAUUGGAACCUGGCUGUUACGGGUUGAAUCAAGUCCUCCUAAACGGACAUGUUGGGGUCCUAUAACCCCCAGUACCUCAGAUUGUGAGCUUCUUGGAAAUGGGGUCUUGUAGAUGUCAUUAGUUGAUGAGGUCACAUUGGAGUAGAGAAAGUCCCUAAUCCAAUGUAGUUGGCGUCCUCAUAAGAAGGCCAUGGAAAGACAGAGACACAGGGAAAAGGCCAUGUGAGGAUGGAGCUAGUGAUCGACAAGCCAGGGAAGCAAAGAUCGUGGACCUUCACCAGAGCGAGGAGAGAAGCGUGGACGGUUUCUCCCUCAGAGCUCUCAUGAGAAACCAGCCCUGCCCACACCUUGAUUUCAGGCCUCCAGCCUCCAGAACUGUGCCACAAGAGAUUUCUGUCAUUUUAAGCCCCCCAGUGUGUAGUACUUUGCUAUGCAUUGUCCUUUUAUGUCACCAAGUAGGUAUAGUAGUCAAGGUAGAAGAGAGACGGCAUUUUUCAAAUCCUUUCAAUGAAGUUCAUUAUCUUGGUUUAGCCAUUUUUCAGAGUUAGGGCACGUGGCUUCCUUUGACACUCCUGCUCCGUCCCCACAAAGGAAGAGGGUGAUCUGGCUUCUUGCAUCCCCCAGUUCUGGUUUAGGAUCCAGCUUUAUCCCACCUACCCAGCCAGUCACCACCCAUCCUGCACUUCCCAGCAUUUUCCCACUGUGCUCUCCCCAUGGCUUUUGCUCCUAGCAGGUCUAUACCAGCACCAUCCGAUAGAAUUUUCUGCUGUGAUGGAAAUGUUCUUUAUCUGCUCUGUUCAGUAUGAUAGCUACUGGCCAUACGUAGCUAUUGAGCACUUGAGAUGUGGCUAGUGUGACCUGGAAACUGAAGUUUAGAACUUAUUUAAGAAAAAUGUAAAUUUAGCACAUGUGACUAGUGGCUAUCAUAUUGGAUAGUACAGCUCUAUACUGUAUUAUCUAUACUGUACAAAAAAAAAACCCCAAAAGUUUUUGUUUUCAAGGUCACGAGGGAGGUAAUAAAAGUAAAGGAAUGUGUUCCACCUGCCAUCUUUACACUA